rnacentral:rRNA from 1 species
AUGGGGGAGGUCGCGGCGGAGCUGUACACCCAGGAUGGCACCAUCGACAUCAAGGGCAACCCGGCCCUCAAGAAGGACACCGGCAACUGGCGCGCAUGCCCCUACAUCCUCGCGAACGAGUGCUGCGAGCGGCUGGCCUAUUACGGCAUGAGCACCAACCUCGUCAACUUCAUGAAGGACCGGAUGGGCAUGGCCAACGCCGCCGCCGCCAACAACGUCACCAACUGGGGCGGCACCUGCUACAUCACGCCGCUCAUCGGCGCCUUCCUCGCCGACGCCUACCUCGGCCGCUUCUGGACCAUCGCCUCCUUCAUGAUCAUCUACAUCUUCGGCCUCGGCCUGCUCACCAUGGCCACCUCCGUGCACGGCCUCGUGCCCGCCUGCGCCUCCAAGGGCGUCUGCGACCCCACGCCGGGCCAGUCGGCGGCGGUCUUCAUCGCGCUCUACCUCAUCGCGCUCGGCACCGGCGGGAUCAAGCCAUGCGUGUCGUCGUUCGGGGCCGACCAGUUCGACGAGCACGACGACGUGGAGCGCAAGAGCAAGAGCUCGUUUUUCAAUUGGUUCUACUUCUCCAUCAACAUCGGCGCGCUGGUGGCCUCGUCCGUUCUGGCACCAGCGCCCCGGCGGCAGCCCGCUCACCCGGCGCAGGUGCUCGUCGCCGCCACGCGCAAGCUCGGCGUCCCCGUCGACGGGUCGGCGCUGUACGAGACCGCGGACAGGGAGUCCGGCAUCGAGGGCAGCCGCAAGCUGGAGCACACGGAGCAGUUCAGGUUCCUCGACAAGGCGGCCGUGGAGACGCAGGCGGACAAGACGGCCACCGGGCCGUCGCCGUGGCGGCUGUGCACAGUGACGCAGGUGGAGGAGCUCAAGAGCGUGGUGCGGCUGCUGCCCAUCUGGGCGAGCGGCAUCGUCUUCGCCACGGUGUACGGGCAGAUGAGCACCAUGUUCGUGCUGCAGGGCAACACCCUGGACGCCUCCAUGGGGCCCAAGUUCAAGAUCCCCUCCGCCUCCCUCUCCAUCUUCGACACCCUCAGCGUCAUCGCCUGGGUGCCAGUCUACGACCGCAUCCUCGUCCCCGCCGUGCGCUCCGUCACCGGCCGGCCCCGCGGCUUCACCCAGCUCCAGCGCAUGGGCAUCGGCCUCGUCGUCUCCAUGUUCGCCAUGCUCGCCGCCGGCGUGCUCGAGCUCGUCCGCCUCCGCACCAUCGCGCAGCGCGGCCUCUACGGGGAGCACGACGUCGUGCCCAUCUCCAUCUUCUGGCAGGUGCCGCAGUACUUCAUCAUCGGCGCCGCCGAGGUGUUCACCUUCGUGGGCCAGCUCGAGUUCUUCUACGACCAGGCGCCCGACGCCAUGAGGAGCAUGUGCUCCGCGCUCUCCCUCACCACCGUCGCCCUCGGGAACUACCUCAGCACGCUCCUCGUCACCGUCGUGGCCAAGCUCACCACCAGGGGAGGCAAGCAAGGGUGGAUCCCCGACAACCUCAACGUCGGCCACCUCGACUACUUCUUCUGGCUGCUCGCCGCCCUCAGCCUCCUCAACUUCGCCGUCUACCUCCUCAUCGCCAGCUGGUACACCUACAAGAAGACCGCCGGAGAUGAUCACCCAGACGCCAUAGCCAAAGGGGGAGCUCAUGAUUGA